GACGAACGCUGGCGGCGUGCUUAACACAUGCAAGUCGAACGGAAAGGCCCUGCUUUUGUGGGGUGCUCGAUUGGCGAACGGGUGAGUAUCACGUGAGUAACCUGCCCUUGACUUUGGGAUAACUUCAGGGAACUGGGGCUAAUACCGGAUAGGAGCUCUUGCUGCAUGGGGUGGGUUGGAAAGUUUCGGCGGUUGGGGAUGGACUCGCGGGUUAUCAGCUGGUUGGUGGGGUAGUGGCGUUCCAAGGUUUUGACGGGUAGCCGGCCUGAGAGGGUGACCGGCCACAUUGGGACUGAGAUACGGACCAGACUCCUACGGGCGGCAGCAGUGGGGAAUAUUGCACAAUGGGCGGAAGCCUGAUGCAGCAACGCCGCGUGCGGGAUGACGGCCUUCGGGUUGUGAACCGCUUUCGACUGUGACGAAGCGUGCGUGACGGUAAUGGGUAAAGAAGCACCGGCUAACUACGUG
rnacentral:rRNA from 1 species